rnacentral:rRNA from 1 species
GAUGAACGCUGGCGGCGUGCCUAAUACAUACAAGUCGAGCGAACGGACGAGAAGCUUGCUUCUCUGAUGUUAGCGGCGGACGGGUGAGUAACACGUGGAUAACCUACCUAUAAGACUGGGAUAACUUCGGGAAACCGGAGCUAAUACCGGAUAAUAUUUUGAACCGCAUGGUUCAAAAGUGAAAGACGGUCUUGCUGUCACUUAUAGAUGGAUCCGCGCUGCAUUAGCUAGUUGGUAAGGUAACGGCUUACCAAGGCAACGAUGCAUAGCCGACCUGAGAGGGUGAUCGGCCACACUGGAACUGAGACACGGUCCAGACUCCUACGGGAGGCAGCAGUAGGGAAUCUUCCGCAAUGGGCGAAAGCCUGACGGAGCAACGCCGCGUGAGUGAUGAAGGUCUUCGGAUCGUAAAACUCUGUUAUUAGGGAAGAACAUAUGUGUAAGUAACUGUGCACAUCUUGACGGUACCUAAUCAGAAAGCCACGGCUAACUACGUG